CAAAACCAGUGUCCAAGUUAAUUGAACUUCUACAACUGGUUGAUGAUCCCCAAUUUUGUCCAGAAGACUGUCCUACAUAACUCUGGUUGUUAGAUUGGGCUUUACGGUUGUAAAUAUCAGUAAUCUGGCACAUUGUGCUUCCACAGGAAUCCUGCAUUACUUGACCUCUGGCAGAGUGAAGCUCCACAUUUUCAUGACCUCUUUCCUUACUUGGAAGAGCUACAUGCACCUCCCCAUGACGAGACGAAGGGACUCGGCUACACAGUUGGAGUUUGUCUGAAUAAGGAUUACUUCCAUUCAUCAAGUCCAAAAAUUUUGGAAAUGGAGCAGACAACCCAUCUAUCCUCGCAUUUUCAGCAUUGCCAUUUAAGUCUUUACUUGCACGGUGGCAAGGUACCUCCAUUUCUCUGCAUUCUCUCCCUGUUCCAGUACAUCCUCGCAUUCUCAACAUUGCCAUUUAAGUCUUUACUUGCACGGUCGCAAGGUAACUCCAUUUCUCUGCAUUCUCUCCCUGUUCCAGUCGAACGUCCACACCGUUCAGAAAUAUUUCUGUCGGCAGAGGCAGCUCCAAGCUCCUGAGACCGGUUUGAUGUCUUUCCAUGAACCGAAGGGGCUUUAUGGAGCAGCCCAUUUAGUG
rnacentral:lncRNA from 1 species